CUGACGCUAAAGCUCGAAGGUGCGGGUAUCGAACAGGAUUAGAUACCCUGGUAGUCCGCACGGUAAACGAUGGAUGCCCGCUGUUUGCGAUAUACUGUGAGCGGCCAAGAGAAAUCGUUAAGCAUCCCACCUGGGGAGUACGCCGGCAACGGUGAAACUCAAAGGAAUUGACGGGGGCCCGCACAAGCGGAGGAACAUGUGGUUUAAUUCGAUGAUACGCGAGGAACCUUACCCGAGCUUGAACUGCCAGCGAACGAUACAGAGAUGUUGAGGCCCUUCGGGGCGCUGGUGGAGGUGCUGCAUGGUUGUCGUCAGCUCGUGCCGUGAGGUGUCGGCUUAAGUGCCAUAACGAGCGCAACCCUUUUCGUCAGUUGCCAUCAGGUGAAGCUGGGCACUCUGGCGAUACUGCCACCGUAAGGUGUGAGGAAGGUGGGGAUGACGUCAAAUCAGCACGGCCCUUACGUCCGGGGCUACACACGUGUUACAAUGGGGAGUACAGAGAGUCGGUGCAUGGCAAUGUGCAUCCAAUCAUGAAAGCUCUCCUCAGUUCGGAUUGGGGUCUGCAACCCGACCCCAUGAAGCUGGAUUCGCUAGUAAUCGC
rnacentral:rRNA from 1 species